AUGGCGGCCGCAGAGGGCAAGAAGAAGAUCAUCAAGCUCAAGAGUUCAGACGGUAAGGAGUUUGAGGUGGAGCAGGCGGUGGCCAUGGAGUCGCAAAUGAUCCGGCACAUGAUCGAGGACGACUAUACUGACAAAGGCUUGUUGCUCUGCAAUGUCAACUCAAAGAUCCUCUCCAAGGUCAUUGAGUACUGCAACAAACACGUCCAAGCAAAGGCCGUCGACACAUCUGAUUUUGGUGGAGGAGCUAGGCCGUUAGAUGCUACAUCGGCUGUGCCUGCGGCGCCCGCAGAGGACCUCAAAAACUGGGACGCCAAUUUCGUCAAGGUCGACACGGCCACCAUAUUCGACCUCGCACUGGCUGCGAACCACCUCAACAUCAGGGGGCUCCUAGACUUGACUUGCCAGACCGUCGCCGACAUGAUCACGGGAAAGACGCCAGAGGAGAUCCGCAAGAUCUUCAACAUCAAUGAGAAAUUAAGACCCGAGGAGGAGGAGAAGAUCCGCAGGGAAAACCAGUGGGCCUUUGAGUAG
rnacentral:rRNA from 1 species